rnacentral:misc_RNA from 1 species
GAACGCAUCUUGCGCUCCUUGGUAUUCUGAGGAGCAUACCUGUUUGAGUGUCAUUAAAUUCUCAACCACACUGACUUUGAUCGGUGUGGCUUGGAUUUGGGGGGGGGAAACUGUUGUGGGCUCUUUUGUAGUCUGCUCCCCUGAAAUUGAUUAGCAGUACCUUGGUGGAACUGUCUACAGGUGUGAUAAUUAUCUACAUUCUGGACAUCUGCUUAAUGCUGCUUUCUAAACCUCAUAUGUAUUGACCAUCUUGACCUCAAAUCAGGUAGGACUACCCGCUGAACUUAAG